CCCGCAGCCGGUCGCCAGGAUGGUACAGUUAUACAACCUGCACCCGUUUGGCUCGCAGCAGGUGGUGCCCUGCAAGCUGGAGCCCGAGCGCUUCUGCGGCGGGGGACGCGAUACGCUAUUCGUGGCGGCUGGCUGCAAGGUGGAGGCGUUCACCGUGGUCGGCCAGGAGCUGUGCCAGCCGAGGUGUGUCUUCUCCACGCUGGGCAGAGUGCUGCGCCUGGCCUACAGCGAAGCCGGAGAUUAUUUGGUAGCAAUUGAAGAGAAAAACAAAGCUACGUUCCUGCGUGCUUAUGUAAACUGGAGAAGUAAAAGGACUGAAAACUCCCGAGUGUGUAUCCGGAUGGUCGGACAUGACGUGGAAGCACCCUUCAGCGAAACCUUCAGAGACCAGAUGUCUAUUGUGGAAAUGCCGCUUUCUGAGGCCCCCCUUUGCAUUUCCUGCUGCCCUGUGAAAGGAGACCUUCUUGUUGGCUGCAGCAAUAAUCUAGUCUUAUUUAGUUUGAAGUAUCAGAUCAUUAAUGAAGAAUUCUCAAUUUUGGACUUUGAACGUUCUUUAGUUAUCCACAUAGAUAACAUCACCCCUGCCGAAAUUUCUUUUUGUGUUGGAUAUGUCGCUGUCAUGUCAGAAUUAGAAGUCUUAAUUGUAAAACUGGAGUCAGACCCCAAAAACAGAGAGAGUGUUAACCACCAUCCACGUAAGACCACCAAUCCCAUGAAACAGGCAGAAGACACCAGUAAUGACACUUCACAGCUUGAGUCAGAUGAUUUUGUUAUCUGCCAAAAGCCCAUGGAACUUCUUGGUGAAAAAAGCAAACAGUCGGGAAUAUCUGUUACAUUGGAGUCAACAGGAUUAGCUGAUGAAAAAAUAAAAUAUUUCCAUGUUCGGCACCUGCUUUAUAGGCGUUUCGCUCCUGAUAUUUCUUCGUGUCUCUUGUCUGAUGACGUCAGGUUGCACUCACUCCAGCUUCUACCCAUUUUCCAAACAGGGUCUCUUACUUCUGAUAGAAAAAAUUCAUCUCGGGAAAAAGUGUUGCUGAGUCUCUUCUGUUUUUUCUCAUUACCUCAUGUGGGCUACCUGUACAUGGUUGUCAAGUCUGUUGAAUUAAUGUCAGUCUACCAAUAUCCCGAGAAAUCUCAGCAGGCGGUGCUUACCCCCCAGUUCCUGCAUGUCAUCACGAGCAACAACCUGCAGUGUUACACGGUGCGGUGCAGUGCGGCGGCCGCGAGGGAGGAGGACCCGUAUGUGGACACCACCCUGAAGGCUUGCCCACCUAUCAGUAUGGAUGUCUGUGCUUUAAGAAUACAGCUUUUCAUAGGCUUGAAAGCCAUCUGUCAUUUUAAAAACCACGUUGUACUUCUGACCAAGGCGGACCCUGAAACUGUUCCGGAGAGAAGAGAGUCACCCAAGAGGUUUCUUUCUAGAAAAGGUACCAGUGUUAAUCCCAAAACACCUCCUGUAGCUGAAGCUGGGUGGAAUUUGUAUAUUGUGAAUACGAUCUCACCAGUGCAACUGUACAAAGAAAUGGUAGACUACAGUAACGCCUAUAAGACUGCAAAAACCCAGAGCUGCAUCCACCUGCUCAGCGAGGCUCACCUGUUAGUGAGAGCAGCCCUGAUGGACGCCAGUCAGCUGGAGCCCGGAGAAGAGGCAGAGCUUUUAGAGGCGUUUAAAGAAAGCUGUGGGCACCUUGGCGACUGCUACAGCAGGCUUGAAACCCAGCAUUCCCACCUCGCCUUGCCAUACUAUAAGAUGUCUGGUUUGUCUAUGGCGGAAGUUUUGGCCCGGGUGGACUGGGCAGUAGACGAUGGAUCACAGAAAUACGAGCGGGGAUUAAUCUUCUACAUUAAUCAUUCACUCUCUGAAAACCUGGAUGAAGAAUUAAGUGAAGAAAUGUCAGCAAAAGUAGUUCAGAUGUUUUAUGUGGCUGAGCCAAAGCAACUGCCGCAUAUUCUCUGUAGUCCUUCUAUGAAGAAUAUUGAUCCUUCAACUGCCCUCAGAUAUUUAAGGAAGCUGGAUACUUCUGGAUUUUCAUCCGUUUUAGUGACAUUGGCCAAGGCAGCAAUGGCUUUGAAAAUGGGAGAUCUUGACAUGCACAGGAAUGAAAUGAAAAGCCGCUCAGAGAUGAAGUUGGUAUGUGGCUUCAUUCUGGAACCUCGGCUGUUGAUUCAGCAGAGGAAAGGACAGGUUGUUCCAACGGAGUUUGCGGUUCAUUUGAAGGAGACUCAACCUGGAUUGCUUGUGGCUUCAGUCCUGGCCUUACAGAAGAACAACAAAAUUGGAAUUGAAGAAGCAGAUGCCUUCUUUAAGGUGCUUUGUGGAAAAGACGGAGACAGGAUCCCUCAGCUCUUAGUGGACUUCUGGGAAGCUCAGCUGGUAGCCUGUCUCCCAGAUGUGGUGCUUCAGGAACUUUUUUUCAAGCUCACAUCACAGUACAUCUGGAGACUAUCGAAGAGGCAGCCUCCUGACACCACCCCAUUGAGAACAUCAGAGGACCUGAUAAACACCUGUAGUCAUUAUGGCUUAAUCAAUCCAUGGGUUAAUAUCUUAAUUUCAUCCGAAUCCUCAGUCGACAAAAAUUAUAUGGAAGACCUUUCAAAAUUACAGUCUCUCAUAUGUGGUCCUUCAUUUGACAUAGCUUCCAUCAUCCCAUUCUUGGAGCCACUCUCAGAGGAGACUGCUGCAGGCCUCAGUGUCCAUGUCCUGUGUCAUACGCGUCUGAGAGCGUAUGAGCAGUGCAUAGACAGUCUGUUAGAGAGGUGCCCGGAGGCAGUCAUCCCGUACGCUAACCACGAACUGAAGGAGGAGAAUCGGAUAGACUUUGUGGUGGAAAAAACUGCUGCCUGAACUUUGUCAGAGAAUAAAAUGUGGUGGAGAGAAAUAUCAACUUUACUUAUCAUCACUAAAAGAAACACUGUCAGUUGUUGCUGUGGAACUAGAACUAAGGGAUUUCUUAAACGUCCUCCCAGAAGAUGGCACUGCGGCAUUUUUCUUGCCAUAUCUUCUUUACUGCAGCCGAAAGAAAUCAUUGACUUGAAAGUAUCAUUUGCAGUGUACCACGAUGGCACAUGACACUGAAUCUUGAAAAGCUGAAUGCCAGAUAAACUAUAUGUAUAAAGGAUUUUUAUAUUGAAUAUGUACAUACACUGCACAUGCUUUCAGGCUACUUACCUCAGUGUUAUUACUAAUUUCAUCAUUUAUGACCUGAGUCCAUUUAAUUGUUCAGAAUGUAAAAAAGCUACAAGACAUUGGAAUUCCCUCAAAGAAAGCAUAUGUUUUUAAAGGUCUAGAGGCUGACUCUUAUACCAAGAAACAUCAGUUUACUGUUGUUGGAGCCAUGACAGUCUUUUUUCAUCCCAGGAACACAAAACAGUUUGUAAGUGUGUUCAAAAGAAUGUCAUUCCAAGUAGUCCAGAAUUCAACCUUCUUGAUUUUUUCCAGAUUUUUCUACUGUGUCACUUUUAAAAACAAUAAUUUUCCUUGAGAAAGAUUUUAAUGUUUUCUCGCAGUAAAAGAUAUCAAACUUUAUGUUCUUGUUACUUUCAAAGCUCAUUCCGAGUCUCUGAAUCAAAUGAAAUAAAAGUUUACAAAGCUGACUUUCUUCUUGUUUGGCUGCUUACGUAAUGUGUUGAAUGAUGUCUUUCAGUCAAAGUUUUGUUUCCAUUUUUUGUUGAUGUGUACUCUUGUUCUUUUAGCUAGAGUGUAUGUGAAAAAUAAAGAAAUAUAAAGA